UACGUAGGGUGCGAGCGUUAAUCGGAAUUACUGGGCGUAAAGCGUGCGCAGGCGGUUCGUUGUGUCGGCGGGGAAAGCCCCGGGCUCAACCUGGGAAUGGCCGUUGAAACUGGCGAACUGGAGUGUGGCAGAGGGGGGUGGAAUUCCGCGUGUAGCAGUGAAAUGCGUAGAGAUGCGGAGGAACACCGACGGCGAAGGCAGCCCCCUGGGCUGACACUGACGCUCAGGCACGAAAGCGUGGGGAGCAAACAGG
rnacentral:rRNA from 1 species